GGAAAAUAAUGAAAAUGUAGGUACUGAGGUUUUGUCUGAUGCGACCACCUCUAGUAAGAGUGGCGGAUCUGGAGCUUUGGGUGUGAAGGAGGUGCAAUGGAGUGCCUUUAAUACCAAACAGGCUCAGAAUGAUAGUAAUGGGUUUGGAUCCUACUCAGAUUUUUUCACCGAGUUGGGAGAGAAUGCUGGCGAUUCAAGUGCCAAUAUGGUGAACAAUUUUGAUAAUGAGAUAAAGGGUAUAUCUGCCAAUGAAAAACAUGAAUCUGCAUAUUUGGAUAGCUCAAAUUAUGGGGAUUUUCAAGAUAGUUAUAAUUAUGGUACAGCUGCACAUAAAAGUAUAGAGGGGCAGGAUCUAAAUAGCAGUCAAUACUGGGAAAACCAAUAUCCUGGGUGGAAGUUUGAUCCAACUACUGGUCAGUGGUAUCAGGUGGAUGGCUACAGUGCGGGUGUAAAUAUGCAGGGAACUGCAGACUCUAACCCAGCUGGUGAUUGGACUGCUUUUGAUGGAAAGGCUGAGGUUUCUUACUUGCAGAACACUGCUCAGUCUGUUGCUGGAACGGUAGCUGAGAGUGGUACGACUGAGAGCGUCACUAACUGGAAUCAAACAUCAUAUCUCAAUGAUGCUACUGGGGCUGAAUCAAAUUGGAAUCAGGUGUCUCACGUGAGCAGUACGGGUGGAACUACAUCAGAGUGGAAUCAAGGAUCACAAGUAAAAAACGAGUACCCAUCACAUAUGGUGUUUGAUCCUCAAUACCCUGGUUGGUACUAUGAUACAAAUGCCCAAGAGUGGCGAUUGUUGGAUGCAUAUGUUUCAUCUUCUCAAUCAACUACUGGAGCUCAAGAUCAGCAUAAGCAGAAUGUGUCUAUGACAGAUACUCUCUCUCAGUACGACGAUCAGAAGACAUUUGAUACAUAUAAACAGAAUGUCUCUAUGACAGAUACUUUCUCUCAGUAUGACAAUCAGAAGACAUUUGAUACAUAUAAGCAAAACCUGAAUUAUACUUCAGAAGGAUUUGCUGCCCAAAGCCAAGAUUACAACUGGGCUGGAUCAUUUGGUCAUUUCAACCAUCAAAAUUCAAAUAUGUGGCAGCAUGGAACUGCUGUUAAUCCUGAAUCCAGUACAGGUUAUGGGCAAAACCAACAAUUGAAGAACCAUUAUGGCGCAAAUGUUUUGGGAAACAACCGUGUUAAUCAACAGAACUCUAGCAAUUAUGGGGGAACAAUUCCUUAUCAUGAGAGAGGAAGUCAAAGUCAGAAAGAGUUUUCAGCAGUUGGUGGCUCAAAAAACUUUGGUCAUGCGCCUAAUUUUAGUCAGCAAUUUUAUCAGCCAAGUAUUGAGCAAAGUGAACAGAAGCAUGUCUCUGAUGAGUAUUUUGCCAAUCAGAAUUCAGUUAAUUUCCCCCAGCAACAGUUUAACGGUACCCAUCAAUUCUCUUAUGCUCCGACUGCUGGAAGGUCAUCUGCUGGCCGUCCUCCACAUGCAUUGGUUACUUUUGGUUUUGGCGGGAAACUUAUUGUGACAAAAGGAACUGAUUCUAUUGGAGGCUCAUCUUAUGGAAGCCAGGUUAGCUGCAUAAAAGUUUUUUUUUUGAAUUCCUGUUGAUUGAUGAUGCUUUCUCUGAUACCAAAGUUUUUUGUGUAUUCUCUUUAAAGAAUCCUGUAGGAAGCUCCAUAUCCAUUCUUAACUUGAUGGAAGUAGUAAAUGAGAAAGAUGGUGCUUCAGCCCGUGGAUUUGGUGUUUCUGAUUACUUUCGUUCUCUCUGUCAACACUCCAUCUCUGGUCCACUUCAUGGUGGGGGUGGUGGUAUCAAGGAGUUAAACAAAUGGAUUGAUGAGAGAGUUGGGAUCUCUGAUGCUUCUGAUUUGGACUCCAAAAAAGGGGAAGCUUUGAGGCUGCUUCUGUCUUUGCUAAAGAUUGCCUGUCAGCAUUAUGGAAAACUACGUUCUCCUUUUGGUGCCGAUACAUUGUCAAAGGUAAAACUUGAUUUUGAUUUGUUACAAAGUAUUUAAUAUUGAUUGAAUUUGUGGGAAAAGAAUCAUUACAUUUCGAUGUCUGUUGACUAUAAUAUUUCAUGAAAUGUGGUUGGUGGACUACUGCUAGUUUUGUUUCAAUUGCUUUUUGUGGUGAAACUUCUUUGGACCGAGCAGAAACCUGUGUUUUCGGUUUCUCUGAACUGUUUAACGAAUAAAAUCCUGAGUUGGAGUUGUCAAAAUAAUGGAUAAUAAUUUGUGAUAAGAUUGAGGAAAAAAGUCUGAAUUUAGAUGUUUAUUGAAUGUCUCAAAAGGGGCAGGGGUUGAAAAAGAUAAAGUAUCUACUUUCAAAAGUCAAAGAUGUUAUUACAUCCUGGUCUGGUGGUAAAGGGUGAAUGUUGGAAGAAUAGGGGUACUUGGCUUUGAGUUAUCUGCAAAGAAUAUGAUAUUGGGCGCCAUUUUGUGACUGUUUUAGGUUUUAUCAGUUAGGCAACUAGUUCAUGGUAAGCACAAUGUACUUGGACGGUGGGAAGCCACCAUGUUUUUUCCUCUCAAAAUCAUUGCUUAUUCAAUUCUUUCCUCCUACCCCCAACUUUCAGUGGCUUUAUUUCCUUGCUUACAGUUUUGAAGCCAAUCAGGUUGAUUUUCCUGGAAGUAUGAGUUUUCUGUUUUAGUUUUAGUUUUUUUUUUCUCCCUCCUUUGAUCUCCGAUAUUUUGGGGUAUGCCUUCUCUUUCAUUGCUGGUGAUUGUAGGACUUAUAGCUGCCUUUGGUUUCAAUUUGGGCCACCUCAUCCCUUUACGUCAUGCUCUAGAGCCUCUUUAAUAAUGCUCAUGUUGUUUUUCAAGAAACACAGUUUGGGCAUAUUCAGCUGCUGUCUUUGAAAAUAUUUCAAUCCCUUUUUUUGAUGUUAUUAACUUAUCUUCGCUAAUCUCGGAGAUUAUGCAUAGGACAUAUCUUUAUCUGUUGUGUUUCAGAAGUUUAUGUGAAGGUUUCUUCAAUGGAAAACAAUCAUAUUGUCUUUUACCUGUACCAAACAGUAUUGAUGACCAUGGAAUGUUCUCGUCUUUUCUUUCUGGAUUUUUAUUGUGUGGGUGAUGGUUGGUUGUGAUUCAGUGCACCGAUUAGAUGUUAAAACUUAAAAUGAGAAUCCUUGAGAUUGACAAGGCAACUAUUUGUUGGCUCCUUUAGCUCUAGCUGAUUAAUCUCCUGGGAGCCUUGUGGGGAUUGCUGUUUCUCUUAUAGUUAAUAAAGUUGUCUAUGAGAAUUGGUCCUGUGCCUUUUUGCUACAUUAGUGUCAUCUUGAGAUUUACGUGGCUUCUCUGGCUCUUUUGGCUUUUGAAAUUAACAGGAGAAUGAUACUCCAGAAGCAGCAGUUGCAAACCUUUUUGCAUCUGCCAAAAAGCUCGGUGCUCAAUUCAGUAAUUAUGGUGCGAUUGCCCAUUGCUUGCAAAAUUUGCCUUCCGAAGGGCAAAUGCGGGUAUGUGUGUGGUACCUUGUGGUUGUGAUUAUUACUUAUCCAAAGCACUUAUAGAUCACAAUAUUUGUUUAGCCCACUGCUUCUGAGGUUCAAAGUCUCUUGGUUUCUGGGAGAAAAAAAGAGGCCCUGCAUUGAUAUCUCAGAGUAUAGGAAUAUGAAAGUACAUAUAUUAUACGCACUACAAAAGACAGUCGUCGUACACAGGUGCACCUUUUUUUUUUCUGGGUUCUAAUCCACGAAUCCCUAUCCUUAACGCGAGGAAUUGAGGGCCAGCAAAGGUCUGGUGUCUGGGGAGCAAAAAGGCAGACAAAUGAUACAUGCCCACAUGGAAUUUUAUUAUAAUAUAGUCAAUCACAAUUCAAAGGCACUUGCAAUUUCUUGGCCUGCAGACAAUGUGUUUAGUAACCCUAAUAAUAUGGCCACACAUUUCACAUGCAAUGCAUCAGUGCGCAUGGCUUGACUUGCUUCCUCCUGAAAUUUGCAGAAAUCUUAGUGACACCAUUGCUUAUCAUUCUUUAAAGCUAAUCAAGAGACUGCACAAGUAAAAUAUUCAACACUUCGGGGAAAAAAUUCCAAUUGGACAAAUGUUCCACAACUGUUAAAAGUGAGAGCUAAAUGAGUUAAACUAAGAAGUGAAGAGAAACUAAUGCCUUCCUCACAUAUAGCCUAUACGGGAUAUUGCAUGAACAAUCUAUUAAGAAUAGCCAUUCAACUUAAUUAAUUUCCUCAAUGGUUUUUUCUACCAUAACCCCACUAGCCCUCGAUCUUGCCCUAGCAAGCCAGCGUUCAACAUGAGAGAGAGAGAGAGAGAGACUUAUGAGCCCAUGAAAGCACGCUCACUUAUUGUGUCUGCUGUGAAAUUGGCAUUGCUUGAAAGGUACUUUCAAGCAUGAAUUCAAGCCAAGUAAAAAUGAUGUUACAGGUCAAACAAGAAAGAUAAUUCUUGUUUCUCACUUUCAUUGCAUAAUAAUGAACAAAACAACUACAAGUCUCUUUUUCCAAGUAUUAAAAGCCAACUCGAUCAAAUUUUGUCUACCUUAGCUAGUUCCCUGAUUCUUGACCUUACAGAAUCUCCAACUCUUUCCUUUCAAACUCAAAACACCACGAGAGACUACUUUUCGGGUAGUUUAGGCCUUUUUUUUUUUUUUUUUUUGACGUUUUGAGGAGGAAAACUUUGAACAACUGAUUUUUUUAGUCCUUUUUUGAUGGGCUGAAAGGAUUGAGUUUGUGUUUGAGUUUCAGUGCAGAGAUGAAUUUCCAGUCAUGGUAGCUUAGUACGAUGCUCAGGAUGGAAACCUGACUUUUUGACUAACUGAAUAUCAUGCAUAUGUUUCUCUCAAUCAACUUAUGGUAAUGAGUAUAUUUGUUCCUCGUUUUGUUUAAGGGAAUGGCAGGCAGAACAUUCCACAAACGCUUGAAAGAUCAAGAGAAUUUGAACCCCUGAGUUCGAAGGAAACGCAAUUAAUCCCACAAGACACCAUUCACUUGCCUGAUUUCCAGUUCAAUUAGCUCCAAAAGUAACCGAAAACUAAUAGUACUAAACACUAUUUAGACCUAAUUAAGCAUCAGAUUUAGUGUAGUUAAGACAAGGUAAGCUCCUAAGUGAAAUCGUUUGAAAAGCCAACGUAAGUACACAUUCUUAUCAGUAAUCUGUCUCUAGGUGAUGCCAAGUUGUUGGAUAAACAGCAAAGGAACCUAUCUUGCUAGACCUCACCAGAUAGUUUGCAUUUUGCAAAUUAGGUGUGAUCAAUUUUGAGAUAGAUUGUUAGAACUUGAUUUGACCAAUAAGAUGUGUUGAUUGCCUGUAGUUCUACAACUGAGACCGUGAGUUUAUUCCACAAGUAUGUCCACCCCCCCUCCCCCACACAACAAGCCCACAUAUAAGAAGUUAAAGAACGCAAUUCUUGAUGGACUUGUUCCCUGGGUAAAAAGUAAAUACUGGGAGGAUAAUAAUACUGCGAGACACAGACUGAGGAUAACAUCAUAUACUUACAUGAUUGAUUUAUUUCUCUAAUCUUGUUGCAAAGCUUCCAAUACAAAUUGAUAAAGGGUUGAGGGUCUGUUUGCAAACAAGUUUUUGGCGUUUGUCUUUUACAAGUUUUUUAACAACUUUAACUACAAUAAUCUCAAAAAACUCCUCAAAAUUUUUAAACUAUAUACUUCAAAAUAGUCAAAAUUUUUUCAAAGUUUUAGAUAAAUAUCCAAAAAACUCAUUUGUCAAACGGGAUCUGAGUUUAUACUUCUGGUCAUGGCCACUGGUUUAAUAUAUUUAAACCAUCAUUUUCUUAUUGCCACUGGUUUAACAUAUUUAAACCUUUGAGAGAUCAAUGAUUCAAAUCUUAUCUUCCACCAAAUGUCACAAUAUGUGGCUUCUCUAAAAAAAUCUAUAUGAGUGCGUAGUACACCUGUCUGAUCCAAUAGUAAUUCAGUUUCCAUUGAUUCCCUAUAGACUCAGUUGGACCUCCCCGUAGUUAGGAUAGAAUAGGAUAAUAUAUAUAAAGUCCCCUUAGAUGUCCCUAUUGGUCCCCCGUAAACACAAUUGAGCCUUCUCUUAGAUUAGUAUAAAGUAGGAUGAUGUAAAUAAAAUUCCCUUAGAUUAGGAUAAAGUAGGAUAAUAUAGAUAAUGUGACGACGACAAAAGAAAAAACCAUCAUUUUCACUUGAGCAUAGGCCUCUCAAAUUAAGAUAAAAUAGGAUAAUAUAGAUAAAAUCCCCUUAAAUUAGGAUAGAACGGGAUAAUACGGAUAAAGUGCGGAUGAAAAAAAAACAUCAUUUUCACUUGAGCAUCGGCAUAGACUUCUGCUUUUCUCUAAGCUUUGAACAGCUUCUGAGACCAUGACUUUGUCGGCUUGCCUUUUUAACACUUCUAUCCGACAGUAUCGAUGGAAUAUUCUCUCUAAUUUUCAUCUUCAUACGCCGUAAGUUUAGCUUCAUUGUUGGGGCCAGCAUAACAUUUUUUUAAUUGAAAAAAAGGAAAAUCGUCCAAAACGUCUUUUACUAAAAUAAUUUUUUUGUCCUUCACUUUUAAAAGUGUAAUUUUAUAUCCCUUACAUAUUCACAUCGAUCAAAUUUAGUCCCUAACUAGAUUUUCGAUCAUUUUUUAGUCGGAAUCCAUCACGUGCAAGGCACGUAAUCAUUUUUGAAGGGUAAAUUUGUCAAAUUAUAUUUUACAUAAUUUAAUCUAUAGUCCUACAUUUUAUAAAACAAAAUUUUUCGUCCCUCAUAUUUUAUAAAAUAAUUUUUUCAUCCCUCACAUUUCACAAAAUGAAUUUCUCCAUUCCUCACAUUUUCAAAAAAUGAAUAUUUUCAUCCCUCAUUAAUUAUGUGUGUAAGGGAAACCCUAAAAAAUAUAUAUAUAUAUAUAUAUAUGUGUGUGUGUGUGUGUGAAUACAUUUUAUUUAAACACAUAUAUAUGUCUAUUUGAUUUUGCUUUAAUAAUACAAAUAGAAUAAAUAUAUGUAUAUGUCUAUUUGAUUUCACUUAACAAUAUGAAUACCAUAUAUUAUACGUGAUCAUUUGAUUUUAUCUGAUAUUAGCUAGUAAAAAAUCUUGCAUUCAUUGUCAAGUUGGUCAAUAAAGUUAUUUUCGGUCAAAAUACAAUAAGAAUAUGCAAAUUAAGGUUCUAUUGGUAAAUAUUAGUCAUAAUCAUACAAAAAGAGAAGAUAGCCCACAAAUUGGGCCCAAUUACAUACAUGUGUUUAUGCUAUUAUUAUUAAAUAAAAUCAAAUAGACAUAUACAUGUGUUUAAAAAAAAUGUAUUCACACACAUAAUUAGUGAGAAAUAAAAAAAUUCAUUUUUUGAAAUGUGAGGGAUGGAGAAAUUCAUUUUGUGAAAUGUGUGGGAUGAAAAAAAUUAUUUUAUAAAAUGUGAGGGACGAAAAAAAAUUUAUUUUAUAAAAUGUGGAGGACUAUAGAUCAAAUUAUGUAAAAUAUAAUUUGAUAAAUUCAAAUUAAUCCAAAAUUUUUAGCAAGAAAGCCUAAUGAAAUUUUCUCCAUAACUAUAAUUAAAAACUCAUUACCAAAUAACUUAUUGAAGGAAAAAUCUAGUACUGCAUAACUUUGUACUAUAAGUAGUUAAUUUUUGGCAUGGCAUGGCAUGGCCUGUGCUCAAAUUUUCAGUAUAUAGAAGUAUGUGUAUGUGUAGUGGCGGUGUGGUUGAGAGGCGGCGGGGUAGCACCACAAGUGGUAGAAACAGUCUCUCCACCACUUAAAAACGACACCCUCCACUUGUCAGACACUGGCUAUCACUCUACUCCGCUCCUCUACUCUUAACUAACUUCACUCUCUUCUCAUCCACAACCAACUAACUUCGACUAAAAACUAGGACUUCCGUCACUUUACUACACAACACCACACAACCUUCACUCUUGUCUGGUCUCACCCACAAUCCAUGCCACUUUUUAUGUUGUCAUGUUUAUCUUUAUCUUAAACUGUGUAAAAAGCGCAGGAAGCAGCACCAGCUUAUAUAUAUUUUACUGCUGCCACUGCUACGUACAACCAUUUCAAGUACUCUUGCAUUCUUAACUCGCCACCAAUUGUACUGAAAAACACACUCACUAGAAGUCCUAAUCUCUCCCCAAAAAACAAAAAAAAAAAGAAAGGAAAAAAGUGCUAACAAUGGGAAUGGCGGAAGAUCAUGUUGGACAAUUGCAAGAACCAACUUUCAAGCACUUUUGCAGGGUAUGCAAAAGAGGGUUUGGAUGUGCCGGAGCUCUGGGGGGUCACAUGAGGAGCCAUGCUGUUGGAGAUGUUCGGAUGCAUCAAUCGAGUCGCGAUCAAGAAAUAGGCACCAGCAGCUUCAUGAGAAGCAAUAAGGGGGAAGGAGGAAGCAAGCAUUCGUACUUCCUCCGAACCAAUUCCACCAAUCGAUUCACCGGUGCUUGUCGAGCUGGUGAAGAUCUUCAAGAAUUUAAUAAUAAGAGGACCUUCACCCGCUCUGCUUUCCAUGAUGAACGCGAGAAAUUUUCAUCUUCCGUGUCGUCUUCUGAAUCUGAGGUUGAAGAGAUGAUGCUCAAGUCCGCGCGAGCAAAAUCCAAAAAUUACGAGGACCGGCAUUGUGCCGCCUCCAGCGAAGAAGAGGAUCUCGCGAAUUGUUUGGUGAUGUUGUCAAACGAAUCAUUUGUUCAGUCGGAUAAGGAGCAGGAAAACACGGACAAACACGUGGAAAAAGGUACGUUCCAGUGCAAAGCUUGUAAGAAAGUGUUCAAUUCCCACCAAGCACUGGGGGGACAUAGAGCCAGUCAUAAGAAGGUGAAAGGUUGUUAUGCUGCCAGAUUCAACUGCAGCACCAACCUCAAUGAUCAGGAUAAUGACAAUAAUUACGAAGAUGCCUUCUACCAACACGAGGAACAUUUGGCUCCGUCAGAAAAUUCUUCAGAGCCAGGGCUUGAUCUUGAUUUCUCACCUCAUCAUGAUCACCUUCCAAAAAAUACUACAUUGUCAAAAAGGAAGUCCAAAGCUCAUCAAUGUUCGAUUUGUCAGAGGGUGUUUUCAUCAGGACAAGCCUUAGGUGGGCACAAAAGAUGUCACUGGCUAACCUCAAACUUACCUGAUAAUACUAUCAUACAGAACUUACGUGAGCUCCAAUUUGAUAGCCAACAACUAUUCAAGAAGCCUAUGCUCACAAAACCCGAGCCACUGCCUCUUGAUCUCAAUUUCCCUCCAUUGCUGAACAAUGCGGUUGAUAAUCUGCACAUGAACUCAGCUGAUGAUCCCCUCAAUCACGAAGCCCCAGCUAGAAUUUUUCUCCAACUGUGGGGUAACGAAGAGGCUGACAACAGUACUAGUAAUAAUAAUCAUCAGCAGAACUAUACUACUAAAAGCGUGGUUCGUGGUUCAUUGCAUGAUGAGGACGAAAGUGCUAAAGAAGAUGGUUAUAGAACGGAGCAGACUGCAAAACUGAGUAAUCUGAAAGAUAUGAAUUUGGAUGGAGGGUCUUCUCGGUGGUUACAGGUGGGGAUUGCUUCAACUACUGAUAUCACAGCCACCCCAUGAAGUGAUUGUUAGUGUUAGUAAUUAAUUAGUUAUCUACUUUAAGCAAGACUUGUAAUUAUUACAUGUUCUUCCAUGUUAAACAUAGAUAUAUUUGAUUGUCUCUCUGGUGGAAAUUCAAUUUACAAUUUCAUCAAUUUGUGCUCUAUUUUUUUUCCUACUGCCAAUAUUGAGUCUGCUGCCUUUUUUAAAAACAAAGAAGUGAUAGUAUAUAUUUUGUAGCUAAUGGCAUUACGGAUUUUUUUUUUCUUUUUUUUGUGGUCUUAUCUCUAGGGGGCCUCCCUCCCUACUGUCAUAUCCAGGUUCAAAUCCUGAAUCUGGCAUUUGAGAGUGAAGGGAGGGGUUAAACAAAAAACUUUUGUGUUUUAUGCAGAUACGGAAGAAGAACAUACAAAUAUAUCGAAAAAAAAUGUGGGAAAGAAUGAAGAAGCUAGCAUGUUGUGUAUAUGGAGUCGGCUGUGUUGGCUAAAUGCUGGCAUGAGAAUCACAUAAAAAACUGUUUACCCAAGCUGCGAAGUCAAAGUCAGAUACAAAGUACUAAUAAAACCAUGUGAUUAAUUAGGACAUUUACAAUUGAUCGUUCUUCCAUAAAUUACCCCAUAUGCAUGGAUUAUUUUUUCAAUCAGAGGAAAAUGCAUGGAGCUUGGUGCUUCACUUCUCCUAUCAAUGUAUUGUCUAGAAUUGAAGUGAAAAAGAGCAGUUGCCUGUUAUUACAUGGUGUAAGAAAAAAUGGUUGAUUUUUUUUGUUUUCUCUGCUACUUUUAAUUCAUUGAAAUCGUUAGUACUCAUGUCAUACGUAGCUGGUUCACACCAUUUUGAAAGGCCUCCACCCCAGCCCACCACAAAUAUCAUAUCACAUACGGUACCGGCGGCCAACAGGACAUCAUGCCCUGUGUCUCCAGCCGAUCAUCUUCAACGAAGACCAGCUAAACAUAGAGCCAAAAAUUGUGCUCCUGUUCUAGCUCAUGCAGGGAGUUGAAGGUCCAUCUACAAAGGACCACCCUGUAUCACAUAUUUAUAGCUCCUUCUUUAUGAAUUAAAGGGUGCCGUGAGAUGUUAGUGAUUUGCUGCAACUUUGUCGGUCAUUAUUAGCUCUAAAAGUCUACACUAUAUUACAAGACGGACGCUAUGACAUAGAGUAUGGUUAAGGAUGCUAACAAGUUUGAUCAAAUUGAACACCUAGUAUUUAAGCUUAUUCGAUUGUUUUAAUGAAUUCAAAAUUUUGUUUAAAUUUGGCUUGUUUAUUUGUAAAACCAAAUUUCAAGAGUGAAGUGAAAGCAAUGGUUAACCACUGGGCCAGGCCUCUGGCCCAGUGGCCACCAUCUCUUUGGUGGGGUCCACCAGAAAUACCACGUUUCAGUGGUUUGUCUCCAAAAAUUCAGGCGGAUGUACUGUGUACUCGUCUGGUUCGGUGGUGGUUCAGUCCUUUCCGGUUUAUCCCUGGGCCUACUUAGGUCCGCCUCCUUCCCCUUAGUAUAGGAUAAAUUAGGUUUAUCGUCUCCGAAAAAAAAAAAAAAAGUGAAAGCAAUGGUUAGAAAAGUGCAAACGCAUCCAGAAAUCGAGGAAUGCCUCUGCUGUGGAUGGCAAUGAGUUUCUGAUUUUUAGAUUAAUAUCUCAGACUUUUCCACAAGAUCGAGAUGCUUAUGGGCAUGCUCUUAUUUGUUUGUAGUUUCUUAAAUUAUUGCAAAUAAGUUAUUGGAAUUUUGAAAAAAAAAAAAAGAAGUAAUUUGUAAUAGAAAACUUAAUAAUUUACUCUAUAAAGUCAUAUUCUGAAGGUUUCCUUUUUCCUUCUUCCAAUAUUAAAGUCAUCAAAAUCAAGCAAAGGAUAAAGGUUGGAAAUAUACUUAAUUACUAGUAGAACAUAGUCCCUUGACUUGAUAGGCCUCCUCCGUAACAUUUCGUUGGAAGGAAAAAUUCCGCUGCCAAUUGCAAAUGUCAUUAACAUUUUUCCUUUGAUUUGUAUUAUAUUAUAUGCCUUCAAAUGGACUACUAAUUAGUAAUAUAAAUCAUCUUAAAUUAAAUCUAAAUCUACCGACUAUGACUCAAAGAAUCAGCCGAGGGCUUGCGUGACAAUGAAGGGCGGGGGAGGGGUGAGAAUGGCGCGUGGGAAACAAAGCAUGCGCAAUAACAGGACACGUCCAUGUACUGCAGAUCAUACCUGUUCUUUGUAUCCGUGGCCAUUGGCAUCUUCAACUUUCUCAAAAUUGGCUGCCUAGGAAUGCGUGUAAUCAUGUUUGGGGCAUAUCAACGAGACAGUUCGUAUCUGAUUCGUACAAUUAGUGUCAAUUUUGGUUCAGAAAUUAGCGUCAAAUUUGUUUCGGCGUAGAUUUAUUGAAUCGUUUAUGCCUUGCCUUCUUCAUCUGCGUUCAUGGAGCAUUACAAAUUUACAAAUUGAAGUUCUUGAAGGUUGCAUUUUCAAGUUGACCGUUCCUUAUAUAGAUUAAAGUAGAGUAAGAGUUGACAAUUGACCAAAAAAAAAAAAAAGAAAAAGAAAAAAGGUUCAAGUUCCCUACUAAACAUUAUUGUUGUUGUUAUUAAUCACAAAAGAGAAAAAGCAAAUUAAUGCUUUGAUGUUGUAAAGAGUGCAAUAAAAUUAGUAGCAAAGUUUAUAAUAAUGGUAAAUACUAGAGAAAUAAAAAAGGCUAAUUAAAAAGGUUUCUGUAAGGUAAACAAUGAAAAAAAAAAAAGAAAAGAAAAAUCCAAUCAUUGCAAACGCUCUCUGCAUAGGAAUCCUAUACAAUUUUUUUAUUAUUAUAGGAUCAAUGUUUUUACAUUAUACAAAAAUGCAGCAUCUAUUCUAGGAGUUGUUGAAUAGUUUGAGAAGACAGAAUAAAAAUGAAUUACUUGAGGAGUGACGACAUCCAUCUUCAGGAGAAAUAGGUAUAGAGCAGAUUAUUAUCGAUCGUCGAAAAAAAAUAAAUAAAUGCCCGUCAGCUCGGGGGAAUCAUUCGCUAAAAUUUUCGGUUGGACUUGCCCUGAUGGCGUUGCAGGAGUCGUGAAGCGCCGGGCCGUCAUGGAACUGAUGAGUACCACACUCAUUACUUGAGGAGUGAGGACAUCCAUCCUCAGGAGGAACAGUUAACAACUUACCACUUUUAUAUAUAUAUAGUAGGUGUUACUAUCACAAAGAUCCUAUACUUGUAUAAGACUAGAUUUCAUUAUAGUCUAACAAUUGAUAAAUCUUAUCCUUCUCUAAACAAAUUUACUUAAGAAGAGAACCUAAAUUCUUAGGGCUUGUUUUUUAACUGAUUCUGAUUUUAUAAAAAUUGAUUUUGUAUAAUUAAUUCUUGAAAAUCAUAUUUUUCAUAAUAACUCACGUGUUCUCGUUUAUUAGUUAAAAAAAAAACUAUUUUAAUGAAUGCAUCAGUGUUCUCAAGAAAAGUUAAAAAGUUGUUUUUGACAAAAAUAUUAUCAAUUUACCCUUAUAUGCUACAUAAAUAAAAUUUUUACUAAUUAAUUAAUUUUUAUGUAGAUAAUUACUUUUCUUGUGAAGAUUCAAUGUUGGAUAAGAAAAAAGGAAUUGAGGGAACACAGAUGAACUAAAAGUGGGGCAAAAAUUGGAGAAGAAUAAAGAGACAUGCGACAUAAAAAUUUAUCUAACCUUUGGGUAGUAAUUAUGUUAAAAUUUGAAAGGUAGUUUAGUUGAUGUUUAGCUUUGUUUUAUCCAAAAAUUUGAAAAUUAUGUAUUUAAAAAUCAGUUGAGAACACAACAAAAUAGCGUUUCGAAAAUCAAAAACUAUAAUCAAGUUUCUAAAAUGAGUUUAGAUCGGAUCAUAUUUUUGUCGUCUACUCUAAAGACGUUUGUGCCCGAAAAUAUAACAUUUGAUCAAAGUGAAGAAAACUAUGGCCCCGUUUGACAAGUGAAUUUUUUGGAUGUUUAUUUAAAACUUUACUGUAACUUAUUGUAGAAGUUGUAGAAAAAAUUUUUAAAGUGUGCAAGUUUUUGGAUAUUUUGAAGUGUAUAGUUUAAAAACUUUGUGAAGUUUUUUGAGGUUAUUAUAGUUAAAAUUGUUAAAAAAUUUGUAGCAGACAAACUUGACCAAAAACUUACUUAACAAAUAAAGGUCUAUAGUUAAACCAGCAUGUCCAGUAAUUUAAGAACUCUAACUUAUAGUAGCAUAAUUUUUUUUCCCCGUGUGGAUUGAAGGUAUAUUAUCACUAUUUUUACAAAUUGUAUUCAAUUAGGCCAAAAAAAAAAAAAAAUAGAGCAGAGAAAGGGAAAUUGACACACGCCUCUGAUACAGUGGCGGAUGCGUCAUCAGCAUCAUUUCUGUUUGUUCCAUAAUUGAUGCUUGAAGCUGGAUUGUACUAACUGCAUUACGAAUGCUCUGCGCUAUUAGACUCACCUGGCAAAACGCAUUUCUUUCGGCCUGCAAUUUGCAGGCUGAAUCAAUUGUACCGACCGGCGAGCCGGACUGGACUGGGCAGCAAGACUCGAAAAGCCAUUUUCUUGGUUAUCCUUUUCUUGUCACGUUCUGAUCUCAUUCUUUGAGAAACUGCGAAUAUUUACGGACAGUUUGAUACUUUAUAUUGUUCCAAUUCUUCUUUAAUCUGUUUAAAAAAAUGACUUUCUUGUUGCAUAGCUAUCAGUAGUAUGUUCAAAACAAGUCAUUUUGCCACAAUAAAACUGAAGUUUGUGAGUUGCCUCAUCAAUUUAGAGAUCCUUUCAUGAAUUAUAAUUUCGCUAAAGUUACCUCAGUUUAUGAUUCACUGACAAUGGGCAACUAUUAACAGUCCUCGUUCCUUAUUAUUUUGAAGUGACUUUUAUGCGGAAACUGAUCCUCGUUACAUCGUAACGGAAAUGGGGCACGGCCAUGAUGCGGCCUCAAAAAUUUGUGCGGUUCAGAUUACAGCAUGUAACUCGAUUUUCACGUCAUGUGUGUGGCUCACAAAAAAUUGUUCUAAAGUUACUCCAUGUGUAAAGAAAGUUACGCGAUGUCCAAAAAAUAUUACGCGCUGUUAGAAAAUGCACAAACCGACACAAACGGUUGCACCGUUUGUGCCCCAUGUCCAAUCGUAACGGAUAGGCUAAAGUAGCAGUAGUAAUAGCUUUUGCAUUGUUGACGUGAUCUACGGGUUACUUUUUCUGAAGAAAGCGCUACUAGACAUAUAAUCUCUAAAUCACCACAUACAAGACGUGCCAAUAUUGCACUCAUGAUAGUUAUAUUAAAUGUUUUUUCAAAAUUAAAUUUCUAUAACGUGGACCAUAUUCAAUGGACAAUAAUUCAAAGUUCAAAAUAAAGGCUGUUUAAAGAAAUGAAAUUUAUUAUUAUUAUUAGCAUAAAUCAUCAACCAAAAAAGGAUCAAGAAAAGUGCAGCAGCCCUUCUUAUGGCACGAAGCUUUAUCAUCAUCAAUGCCCUGCCCGUUUGGUCACAACAAACCCCAACGAUUCAUUGACUCGUGCGAGAUGGGCACGUAUUGGUUUUAGCGACACUUAUAGAGCUCAUGAUCGAGUUUGUUAACUGCCAUGGAAGAAGAAUAUUGUGUUAAUGGGUCUAAUCACAUUUUUUGAGAAAAAGAGAUGAUGCAGGAAUUAAGUAAGUGGAUCAUCAAUGUGCUGGAAGAUAAUGACAUUAUGUGUUUAGGUAGAGAAGUAAAGAGCACUUAUUGUGGUAACAAUUUGGAUUCAAACAUUUAAGUCGUAUAUUUCUGCAAUUGAGAAUUUCACCGAGAGCAUUUAUGCAUUAUGUUAUUUGACGAUGAAGUUUAAGAAUCAAAGUGAAAAAAUCAAAAGUAUAGUUGAGGGUGCAAAACGAAAUUAACACUAUUUAUUAUUUUUUCUCAAACCAUCCUAAAUAAAUCUUAGUUCCACCAUGUCAAAUUAGAACUUCAAUAUUGUUUGGAUCGUGAUUUUUCGCAGGAACACAAAAGUUUUGCGUCUUUCGUGAACACGUUUCUCAGUUAUCUUUUCAUCUCAGUUUCUGAUUUGUGUCGUGACAAUCUAGAACAGUUUCCUUGAAAGGCAUAAAAUGGUCCUCUGUCUUAAAAUUGAAGUUCAUAGAAGCCGAUUUAUGAUAUGAAACACUUUUAAAAACGCUACUUCGCCUAAAAGCCGCAUAAAUUUGCACUGCGCGACUUUAUUAAGGGCCAAAGUGGACUUGAGUAAAUUGGCCGCAUAAUCUAGGGACUAUAGUAGUAAAAGUGUCUGGUAUCGAACAAAACUAUGGGAGAACUGAAGUAAAUGGAAACCAAUUCAAUUCUACCAAAUUUAGACGAUUUGGUGGUGGUCUGCAAUUCAAGACAUAUUAUUGCUUGCUUGCUUGUUUGUUUAACUAAAUCCUAAAUCACAAAUUUUGGUGGAAAUGAAUUACAGUAAAAUCUCCCAUGCCAUGAGGAACAGUCCUAGAAACAGAAAACACCGCCUCUUAGUACUCGCAUCAAAGUUUGGAAUAAAGAAACAAAACUACGGAAAUGGCAAGAUUUGCAUGUUCCUUGUCCCUCUUUAUGUCUUCAUCCAUUCAUCCUUGUCACGCCUUUUCCAAUUUUCCCCCCUAACCUUCCAAUUAUAAACUUUGCCAAGUGAAAUCAUCACCUUCAAUUACAUUUUACAACUAAUUAUGCAAAUAGAAAUCCAUCCUUGUAAUUACUUCCGUCCCAAUUAAGGUCCAUCUAAAUGACAAUUUUUUUUGUGUGCAUAUAAUCGUAAUAUGUGAGCUGUUGGGCUUAACAAUAAUAUAGGUCUCCCUUGUACCAUUAUUAUCAUCAAAAAGAAAAGAAAAGAAAAAAGGGUUAAACUCAAGAAUUUAUAAUUGUCUUUUUCUUUCUUUUUUUUUUUUUAAUUUGUUUGGUAAAAAAUGAAAUAUUUUUGGGUGGAGUGUGGCUUUUUGGUGGAAGAAUGCUUGUCACCUACUCCUCUUAAGUUCCUCACUCCCACCGUACUUUUACUACUCACUUCUCCAAAGCUUAUAGGACAAGAGAGAGAAAAUCAAGGCAGCAGCUAUGUUGAGAGAGAAACUCAACUGAGCUGAAUAUAUAUGUACUGCUAGAAGUACAGAGCACACUACACAUUCACUAUACAAGAAAAUUAAAGAAGAUUACAAGAAAACCUCUUCAAUCUUUGGCGUUGUUGUGCGGUGAAAAAAGCCAAAAAAAAAAAAAGAAAAAUGGUGAGACCGGAGAGACACAAAUGUAAGCUUUGUUCAAGGAGUUUUCCGAGUGGAAGAGCUUUGGGUGGUCAUAUGAGGUCCCAUUUGGCCAACUUGCCGCUUCCUCCCAAGACACCGCAAAAACAGGAAGCCAGCAGCCAGCUCCCACCACAGCCCGGUGGUGACGCCUCAACCGAGUCAACAACUUCAUCUGAUUGUUCUUUGUCAGAGGAGGAAGUAGUAGUAGUACAAGUGAAGGAAUGUGCAGCUGAAGAUAAAGGGCUGGUUUAUGGACUCAGAGAGAAUCCCAAGAAGAGCUUCAGGAUGGUAGAUCCUCAGUUCUUGGAUGGUGGUUCGGUGGUUGUUCAAGACAGAGGAAGCGAGACCGAGUCAACUAGGAAACCAACUCGGCAAAGAUCCAAGCGAACUCGGAGAAUGCUUGUGUCUGCUGCUAAACAAGAAGGAGCUGAUGAGGCACUGAUUAAGGAGAAGAAAAUGAUGAAGACAACUGAGUCAUUGUUGGAGUUGGAACAACCGGUGAGUUCGGUCUCUGACACUUCACCAGAAGAAGAUCUUGCUUUAUGUUUGAUAAUGCUUUCUAGAGAUGUUUGGAGGAGGACUAGUACAACAACAACAACUACUACUACUACUACUACUUCAUAUGACUCCGCAGAAGAGUUGAAACUCGUGAAUAGUAGUACUAAAAGGAGGCACAAGAAGCAGAAGAAGAUCAAGAUUAAUAAUAAUGAUUCUUCAUCUGAUCAAGAAGGCGAGUCCUCAGAGGAAUUAGAAUUACCAAGAAAUGGUGUUAGUAGAAGUUGUAGCAUUAAAAAUGUGACGGUGGACAAAAAAGUGCAUGAGUGCCCAUUUUGUGGCAAAGUUUAUGGGUCAGGUCAAGCUCUCGGUGGCCACAAAAGAUCACACUUUUUGGGUUCAUCAACAACAUUAACAACUACAGCUACAGCAGCCACAGCGGCUGAGAGCUUGUUACUGGAAUCGUCAUCAAAUGCUGCUAAAUCUCAGCAAGGUACGUUGUUAAUGAUAGAUCUUAACUUGCCAGCUCCAAUGGAAGAUGAAGACAUUGACGAUGAUCAUCCUCAUGAAAGUGAAGACUUUAAUUUGCAUCAUAGAAGAGGCUUCUGCAGUUUCAGAUGCUGAUUUCACCAAUCCCAUCAACCAUUGACAAUCAACAAAUUUUAGAGAGCCUAUCAGUAUUCCUCCUUUGCUUUUUUAUUUUUAUUUUUUAAAAGCAUUUCCUAUUUUUGAGUUUCUUUGUGGCAAUAUGGUCGAUUCAGUUUUUAUCUAUUUGUAGGAAUGCAUUAACUUCAAAUUGCCAAUGUAAGCUUACUCUCCCUAGUAUCCUUCCAUUGGUAGUUGCAAACGUGCAAUACAUUGCUUUGUUUCGAUAUCUUCACAAGAAAUGUGCAGUUAGUCGCUGUAACUACUGGUGCGCCUGUGGGGCGCACCAGCUAGCUAGUGGGGUUACAGGAGAGCAAGAAAGACUUUGCAUUAUUCUACUGGUGAUUAAUUUCUAUACAUUUAUGUCUUCCCUUAAUUAGCUUGCAAUUUUUUCAGGGAUAUGUACAAUAUUGGUAGUAUUACACACUAUUAUCCAUCAUCCCAUUUUUCUUUCUUUCUUUCUUUCUUUUAUCCUCUGGGGACUUCAGUUUAUCUCGUAGUUCGAGGUUUGUGUGCAUGGUGGCAAUUCUCUUAAAGUUUUGCUUGUGAGACAAGAAUUUUGUUUCUGAAAAAAAGUAAGAGCACCAUAUUAAUUGUGUCCAGUGCUGCUGUCUACUUGUGAAAUUAAUCAAACUUAGUUCAGUUCCUGUUUACAGCUGUUGUUACCUUCGUGAUCUGUUCCCUUCUUUCGGUGUGGUAUAAAGAAUUCCAGAAAAUCCCAUUUCUUUUGUUCUCUCUCAUCAUUGGCUUGGUGGCUUUGUCUGCUUAAAGGACAGGGUUCCAGACUUCCAUUUCCUCCCUCCAUCCAUGUCCGCCAGAAUCUUGAUUUUAAAGACCGAAUUAACCUCUCAAAAAAGUGCAUGUGAUGUGAUUAAGUGCCAUUCUUGCAUGGACCCCUCCCUAGUCUCAUGGAUUAGCAACGUUGCUGGGAAGUUGACCUCAGAAUAUCCAAUCCUUCAAUCAAUUUUGGCUUCUCACAUGUAUAAACAAAUGUUUUUGGUGGCUUUGAAACGGUCCAAGAGCCCGAGAAAGUCAGUAGACUCAGUAAUAGUGCAGCUGCAGGCUUGCAGCUCAUGCCAUCAUGAUUGAAACCAGCCACUUUAUUGAUAUUAAAUAAAUUAGCUUCAAAUUCGGAUAUAUGCAUAGAUUGUUGUUCUAGUCACAUAAUUCAGAUUAUAAAUGCUACUCUUCACUUGAUCUUAGCCAAAAAUGCCGAGAAAGGUACUUGUUAAUGCUGCGACAUAUAAACACUGCAGUUACAGUUUUCAGCUGAAUACCUGGUCCAAGCUCCUAAGCUUUAACUUGGAGUUUGAAAUCAAUUGGUAUGAAUAAAGGUGAGAAAACAGGUUAGGCAGAGAGUAGAAGAAAAAAAAAAUCUGGGACCAUAAGUUACUCGUGUGUGUGUGUGUGUGUUAAUGAUGAUGCUCUAUUCACCCAAGAAAUUCCACUUCCUUUUCUUAUUCAGAUGAAGAUCCAACAUGUGAUUCAAGGUCUCGUUUUAAAAGGGACAAAAAUAUAGGAAAAACAGUAGUGAGAGGUCGAACAAAUUGACACUUAUUUUUACAGCAAAUUCAUAAAAGUGUCUAAAAAAAGUAUUUCGGCUUGUGUCAAUGAGCACCGAAAAUCAAGAAAUGCGUAGCUUCUUCAAAGUAAAAAUGAUAUUUCCUAAUGAUCGGCUCUUGCAGCAAGGGAUGAUUGGUUUUCAUUACGUAACAUCUAAUGAUUCAAUCAAAUGGUUACACCAAUUCAUUGAUCAGGCCCAAUUCACUUCUCAUGCAUGUGUUUUUUGACCCUAAGUGCUCAAAGAGAUUCUUACAAAUCGUCUGUCUGUCGAUAACGGUGUUCACAUCGGCACUGAGAUUUCGAAUACACGAUUUUUUGUGAGAAAGUGACAUGUUCCUAUCAAUUGAACCAAACCUGCGUCGUCGAAACCUGUGUCGACAGCUGCAUUUUUUCUCUUAGCAGUAUUACCAUGGAUAUCUAAAGGACAAAUAAUCUUUCUUUCUCCACAAUCCCCGUACCCCGCUGAUGAAGGGCAAAUUAAUAUCCCCAUUCAGCGCCAGAGUCACAUUCUGAUCUUCUUCUUUACUUUUUACGUGAAAUGGCCACCCCGAAUUUACUCAUGAGCAGCAGAAUAUUAUCGUCAUUUCUGGCCCGUAAUUAAUCUCCUUUUAUCUUGAAUAAACCAGUUGGUUGGAUUGGGAAUUUAUUGCAGAAUUUCUAUCCGGAGUACAAAUCCUGAAAUUUGAUUGCGGAUAGAAUUUAAUUGUUUCACAUAAUUUAAACCAUUUCUCCUACUCCUCACUCGGCAAUUUAUGCCUUUGGUUGGAGCCUAGAGGCGACACCAACUUUGAGUUUGCGGCAUCAAAGCCGCGAGUCCCUGUCCCAGCUCUUCAUUGUCAGACCUACAUACAUAUGUAUGUAUUUUGUGUGUUUGUUUAGACCAAGACCCACCUCGUACAGAUACCAAACCUAUCUCGUGGUACUUUAAAAUUCUGGAUCAAAGAUUAGGAACUUUUAACUACUCCCUGCCGCGAACGACGAUGGAUUGAGCAUUUCGGUUUUCCAAAGGUGUAAAUGUUUUAUUUAUUACACUUCUUGAAUAUAGGUGCCCUGUUGAAUAGAUAAGAGUUAAAGCAUCGUUUGUUCGAAUUUCACUAUCAAUACGAGGAUUAUGUUGACGGAUAUUCUAUAAGCAUCCGUGUAAGUUAUUCUCGGGACAUAUUGCGAAUCUGUAAUAGGAACUGAAAUAAAAAAACCACCCAAACGUCCUCAAAUUUCAUACAACAAAAACGUCUACACAAUUGUACUUUAUUAAGUAGUUUUACAAAGUUUCACCGAAUCAAUAAUAUGGUUAAGGUUCUCAGUGUAGCCUGAAAGUCAGCAUGCCUUUUGGGUUGGACUGUAGGUUUCCCUUAGGUAGUGUGUGUGUGUGUUAUUUGCGGUUGUUUGGAUAAGGAAAAUCAUGGAGUGGUUAAAAGCCGUUGGUGAGCCUUUGGCAAGAGUCUUGGUGUUUCCCUCUCCCCCAUUCCCUCUAUCCCACAUCGAUUGUGAGUGGCGUGUGUGUGUACUACUUAACGUCCUCAAUGUAGCCUGAAAGUCAGCAUGCCUUCUGAGUUGGACUGUGGGUUUCCCUUAGGUAGUGUGUGUGUUAUUUGCGGUUAUUUGGAAUAAUAUGGUUAACUAAACUAAAGUAUGAAAUCACACGAUAAUGUUUUCAACAUUAAGCAAUGGCAAUGGGAUUACUGUAUUAAUAUUGUUGACGUACUUAUUCAUUUAAUCUCAUAUUUAAAAAAUAAAAUAAAAAAAAGGGGGCACGGGAUCUUUGCAGGACAAGGAAACAAAUGUCGUGAAGCUUUCCGAAAGUAACAAUUUUGAGUUUCGAAUUUUCACCAGUGCAUAUUGCAAUCUGAGAAUUUCCAACUUGAGUUUCUCUCUUGUCUGCCUUUUUUAUGGUUCUGUUACUAAAAUAAACAGCAAUCCCUCUAGAUUGUAUAAAGAAUUUGGGGUGGAAACCUAUUUGCAAAAUCAAAGGAUCAUGUCAUAGAUUUUGUAAAAUUUCUAAAGAAAUCCGGUAUAUGCAUACUAUCUAAACUACGUACCUAGUCUGUGGACUUUGAAUCUUGGUCCCCGCACGAACCAAUGGGCAGUUCGGUUUAGCAAUUUUCAUCAUCAUUGAUGACUGAUGACCAUACUAGUAGUUUCCCACGGAAAUUCUUAGUUGCCUGUGAAUUUUAGCCUGCAAAUAAUCCUGAAGUUGUUGAAUGACCCCCUUGCAAAUAAUUAUAUCAAUUUAAAGACAUUUCUAGUCUGCAAAUAAUCCUCAGUUAUUGAAUGGCCCUCUUGCUGAAUUGAUUUGUUCACUUUCGUGUGUAUAACUAUACAAUGUAUAAAGUAUCAUACGAUAGCCAAAGUCUAUGCACAAUUGAUUCAAAUAACAUUUUUAGGUAAUUUGUGUUUGGAUUGCAUUUUUCAUGAUUUUUCAUGAAAAAAAUACUGUAGCUAUUUGAUGUAUGUGAGGGAAAAAGGUAAUAGAGAAAUGUGAUCACAGAAAACGACGUAAUUUUUUGACGAAAAACAGCAAUCCAAACAAGACUGGCAUAAGAAUUAGUGACUAUUGCGCUUCUUAUAUCAUCAUUACUAAUACAAGGUUUUAAAUUCUAAACUCAAAGAAAUCGUAAAAUAAGACAUACCGGUUAUGAUUAAUAGACUUUAAAUUAACUAAUUAGUCUUCAUCCAAUUUGGGCAUUCACAGUUUAAUUUGCUAAUUUGGGCUUCCCAAGGAAUCAACAGCUUUCCUAUGCGUCUAAUAAUGACUCGAUUCGGAUGGUCCAAAAUGGAUUACAAAGUAUAUGGGUUAACUAGAGACCUAAAAUGGGCUGAACCCUUGUCUUCCAUCAAAUUGUCACUGUAUAUAUGGCUGUCUUAAGUAACUUUUUCCAAUGGGGUUUCUACUCCUAUCAACUCCCCCUCCUCCUAGAUUAGGUUAUACCUAAAAUGGGACGUUUAAAACUAAAAGAACAUGAAAGAAAAUGAAAAAUUACCCAAGGGCCGUUUGGUAAUAAAACUACUGCUGGUCAACUUCAGUUGUGCCUUCUUUCGAAAAACGAAAUUUGACUAAUUAAAUCUAAUUCCAGAAGUCAACCCAAAAGCCGGCAACUCUUGGAUUGCUCCCAAGAACUUAACUACCCAAAAUUUGUGCCACUCAGUCAAAAUUUGGAAAGUGCAGAAAAGAACAAUCAAACAAACGCUGAGGUGGCGAGUACGACCUUUAUGGUCAACAUCCACAAAUCAUUUCUUUCUUUUUUUUUACAUCGACAAAUCACAUCUCUGAAAAAUCUCUUUGUUAUAAUUUGGAUUCACAUGAUGCAUCCAAAAAUAUAGUUCAAAAAAAAAAAAAAGAUUCCUUCAAUUAUAUUCCGAAAGCGUGAGGUAAAAAAUUCCCAUGCUUCAAGUUCUAAGCCAUCUAAAACCAAAUCCUUAGCCAAAUAAAACCAAGUCUACCGAGUAAAUAAAACUAAUUGUGUAAAAAGAAAGACUAAGUACUCCUGCUAAAACUAAACUAAAUCAAGUUAUUAGACUUAGUUCCAUAAUCCACUCAGAAUUUUGUGAACAAAACCUUGACAUCUUCUCCAUAAAUCUUUUCAUAGAGCUGUAGUAAUUCUUCUAAUUCCCCACAGGUAAAGUGAACUCAACAAAACUUCUAGCUCAUUUUGGAACAAUCUCAACGUUGUCAUCAACUCUUUCUUGAUUUCUACUAAGAAGUCGCCUCAUCAAUUAUCAUCACCUCUUUCUGAGCAAUCAAGGCACGCCGCAAAUUCAGGCUUAAUCUUUGAUGUAUUUGUCAGCUGCAAUCCGAUUUUCUUCACUUCUGGGAAACCCGUUUAUGAGAAACUUCUUGGUUUGGCGUUCCCCUUAAUAAACUACGACACUUACGUAACCAAAGCAUAAUAACAGUGCUGUAAAAAGGAGUUUCCAGAUAAGGUUUAGAAUUUUGUUCCGCACAAAUAAUACACAAACAAAUAAUUAAAUAAUUAAUUAGGGCGGGAGAGGUUAUUGAUAGACAACAGCAAAAAGGAGCAAACACCUGUUGUUAAAUUUUUCAUAUAUAUAUAUCUAGCGAAUCUUGCAUCAAAUUAAAUUGCGCGAAAAUCGUUCAAAAAGUUGCUUGCAUUUUGUCAAAAGAAAUCUUUUAGUAUUCACUUUAAAAUAUUGAUUUUAUGUUCUUUACAAAUUCAAAUUAACAAAACUUAUUCUCAACCUAAGUUUCCAUGAAAUCACCCCACUACUUGCAUGCAGUCAUCUUUUAUGCACGAAAAAGGUUUGCUUCUACUCUUUUUUAGUGAAAAAAUGAAUAUGGAUUGAGUCCUACCUCACUUAUUUAGGGGAAAAAAUGAAUAUGGAUUGGAUCAGAUUCUACAUUUUUAGGGAUAAAAAUAGAUAUGGAUCGGGUCUUUAAAAAAAAAAAUACAAAUGGAUCUAACCCUUUUUCCUAAAAAAGGAUCAUAUAUGGGUUAUGUGAUAAAUUUAAGAUAAAAAGUGGUCGAAAAUUUAGAUUGGAAUCAAAUUUUACUAAUUAAAUUUGUAAUAGACAUAAAAUUAUUAUUUUAAAAGCAAAUAAUAAAAAAAUUAUUUGACAAAAUGUGAUGGACGUUCUGAAUGAUUUUUCUUUAAAUUGUCUAAACAUGUCUCUGUAACUUGCUUGGACCUACACAAAUUAAAAAGAAAAAAAAAACAGAAAGAAACAAACAUCUAGACCUCACGAGGUCCAUGCUUAUAGAUUGGAUUCAAUUACGCCACCUAAUAUUCUGCUGUGAUAAGAAUAGGAUUUGGUUGGCUCUUUCUUCAACUUUAUUGAAAAUGAAGUAAAUAAACUAUUUAGGUUGAAGUUUCAAUGAAAGCCGUUCAUAUUUGACCAACCAAAUUAAAUUCUUUGUGCUUCAAAGUUCAAGCUAUCCACAGAUAAUUAAUGUCAUAGGUUUGGUGAGAUAUAGAAAAUUUAAUAGUAUGACAACUUGUCUAUGUAUGUAUGUAUAACUAGUUGAGCUACGAUGUGUUGCGCACGGCAAGUGCCCACCGAAGAGUAUUCAAUGUAUGAAAUGAUUCAAUAUUAUAUUCGUGGUAGUUGUAAUCAUAUUUUUUGGAAAAAAUAACAAAACGUAGAAGUGUUUUCAUCAUUUAGAGAUGACAACGUAAUUGGUGUUUAAAAAGAAAAAUGUGCAUAUUUUUUUCACGAAAAACAUUAUUUUAGUAGUAUAAAAGAAAAUGUGCAUGGUUGUUUUAAAAAAUAUACCAAUUCCGUUAAACUCUAAAGAAGUAUUUAUUUUAAACUCUUUAUAUAUGAAAAGGUAGUUUUUAUUUCUGUUAGUUUGGAAUAGUAUAGUUCUUUUAUUUAUUUAUUUAUUUUUUGCAUGACGUUGCACUAUUGAAUUAUAUUGUGAAGAAAACAAAUAAUUAGAGGACUGGAAGCUCAUUGUUCGGAGAUUUUCUUGACUCGCCUUGCGGACAUUAUGUGAUAGAAAUCUCUUUAAUUUUCAUCUCAAAUAAGCUUGCCACCUAUAUAUCUAAAAAUCAGGGACAAUAUCUAAAAAAUAAUGGUAAAAGGUUUUAAACUCUGGCAAAGUACAUCACAAAGUUAACAAUCCCCACGGUAACUAAGAGGAGAACAAUUGAUAAAUUCAAAUCCAACAGCUCAAAAUUGACAAUAAAAAAGUAUUCAUUUAAUAAAACAAAAUAAAAAUAAAAGAGUUUUGUUUCUCUUAUACUUUUUUUUUUCAGAGCCAUAGUAUAAGUUUUGGUAGAUUUUUUUCCCUCUAAAUCCCAAACAAAUAGAAAAACCUAAAAUACAAAUUCAAACACAUGAUAUAGUUAUAUUUACUUUCUAAAAAAAUAAGCCUGCAUUUACACAUAUAGUUUGUAGGCUUUUUUUUAAAAAAUUUUAAUACUAUAAAACAGAUUCAAGUCUACAUUGGUUUUCUUUUUCUUUUUUUUUUUCAUAGCAAGUGGCUGGACUGCCCUUUUCUUACCAUACUUCAUAUCAUAUCAUUAUUCCAUGACCCAAAAUUUGCAACCGGUUAGAUUCUUAUAAUGGCAGAACAAAAGGUCAAUGCAGCAAAAGAAAUGCAAACUUCACCUCCCAUAAUGCUAUACGGAAGUACCUGAAGGGGCUACGGUAGAACCAACUGGUUCUUAUAUUGUAAAUAGUUAGAUAGUUAGAUAUGCUGGAUGUGAAAGCAUUAGUUGAUUUGAGAGGUAAUUUUUAGGCACCUGUUGUUUCGCAAACAUUUUAUAUGUGUAGAACGAUAAUGACUCUACUGCGACACAUUACUGACAUUCAUAUGUCUAAACCCAUCUUUCCCUAUACUCUUUUUUUUUUUUUUUUUUUUUUUUUUUUUGACACAAGGGUGUCUGAAUCAACUUUUAUGGAAUCCGAUUAAUUUCCUGCGAUCCAGACCCGACGCCACAACUCGACUCGAACGCGAUAAGUGUUUGGAGGAACCCAGCGAAGCGGAGACUCGAACUUGAGACUUUAAGGAUCACCGGUGAGAGGUGCUACCGCUAGACCAUUCACGCGGGGAUCCAUCUUUCCCUAUACACUUGAAUUUCCAUGUGAAUUUCAAUAUUCUAUUCAACAACUGGAGGGGGAAAAAAAGGAUACAUCAUAACUACAGUAUGAAGGACAGUAAUUUUUCUGGCCCCAAUCAAAUACGGAUGGGGAACAGCUAAACUCAUUAUUCUUACUGAUACAUGAAAUUUCCUUCUCAUUUUCUGGUUGCUCAUGUGACCCUUAUAUGAUACCUUAAUUUCUUUGCAGGAAUAAAGUACUGGUCAGAAUUCCAAGCUUGAUGUUGUCUGCGGACAUCCACAGAGCGAAAUUUUAGGUGGAGGGGCGGAACGGUUGUCAGAUUAGGCCAAAAAAAUUUAUGCAGUUCAAAUCACUCAUUGUAAUUUGAUUUUUAUGCCGUGUGGGACCCACAAAAGUGUUGUUCUAGUGUUAUUCGCUGUUAUUUUAUUGUUACACUUUGUACAGAUGAUAUUACAUUGUGUGCGAAUGGUGUUACACCUUCCGAAACGGUUACUUUGACAAUCGUUCCAGCCCCCGAAUCCAAAAUUUUAUGGAGGCAUAUGUAGUAAUCGAUUCAGAAUCAAUCGAUAAACUUUACGCGGAUACAUAAGAACUUCACUUGCUAAUUCACAGGUUAGGUGAAGUUGAUUUUGGCAUGUUAAAUGAAAGCAAGUGUUAAUUGAUUCGGGACCAACUAACUACCUGGUAAUUGUUUGGGAUUGACAUAAAAUUUUUUCCAAGCAUGAUCUUAUAGUGCCAGUUUCCUUUUACAUCCUUGCUUUUGGGAAGCUUGGAUACUUCUACAAAAAGAUCUGUGCGUGAUAGUCAAGGGUAAAAAAGUUUUUUUUUUUUUUUUUUAAAAAAAAAGGGGAGUAGUCCAGUGAGGUGCCAGGGAGUAGUACACUAAACGAUGAAAUGCCCGCAAAUCUAGACAAAUUGUAAUUUAUCCAAAUCCCAUAAAACUACGAUAAAAUACAACAAUAGAAAUACCGUAUUUUCGUAACACUAAAAUAAAAUCACAGUAAAAAAACCGUCCCCAGCUAAAGCAAAAGCCAUAAAUUUUAUUAAUAAUAAUCGAGAAUUAUAAGGAAAAUUUAAAUGCAAUGCCAAAUUUGGCCUUGGUAGGUUGUCGUUGAGAAUUGAGGAGAUUUGAGACUAGAAAGCAGAGAGACUUUCCUCUGGUGCGCGAAAUCGAGAGUUUGUCUUCUCUAUUAUUCACGUACACCCUGUUUCUCUCUCUCUCUCUCAUCGUUAUUUUUUUUUUAUUUCUCUCUUUCUCUCUCUUUCUGUGUAUACUUAUAUUUAGGGGACUUAUAUAGUUUUAUGUAUAAUGUGCAUCGGCAAGGGAUUUUGCAGCUCGAUCUGUAAGUUGUUUUAAUCAGUUUUUUUGCACGAAUUUUCGGUUGAAUUUUUUUAUCUGAUGCAUUGAAUUACAGCAGAAAUUUGGGGUGAAUUUGAAAGCCCUAGAUCUUACUUGAUUCGCAGUUUGAUUGGAUCGAGUAGGGCGAUUUUGGUUUGACCAAGUGGGUUUUGUAAUUGGAUCUGGAAAAAUUACUAGCUAGAAUUUGAUAGGGUUUUAAUUUUGGUAGCGGUGACUUUCUUUUUAUUGUUUUAGUGAGAAGUAUUCUCUAGGGUUUGAGUUGAUGGCUUCGAAUCCUCCAUUCCAAGUGGAGGAUCAGACUGAUGAGGAUUUCUUUGAUAAGUUGGUGAACGAUGAUGACGAUGACGUUGAUCUUAAGGUCACUGCCACGUCAUCGUUGGCUUCCACCGCCUCAGGGCCUGUUUUCACGGAUGGGGAUGAGUCUGACGAGGUUAAGGGCUUUGCGAAUUUGAGUCCAAAUGAGGCCGAUGAUAGUGAUAAGAAUGAUAAAAAGAUGGGAAUAGAUGAUUUGGGUGGGAAAUUAGAGAGGGAGCCGAAUGGCGUGGUUAAUGAAGUUGUUGAGAUUGAUGCUAAAGGGGCUGUGGCGGUGGAGGGUGUAGUGGAGGAGAGUAAUGGUGUUUUGGAAUCAUCGAGUUCAUUUGAGUUUGCAGGUGUAGUUGAGGAAAAUAAUGAAAAUGUAGGUACUGAGGUUUUGUCUGAUGCGACCACCUCUAGUAAGAGUGACGGAUCUGGAGCUUUGGGUGUGAAGGAGGUGCAAUGGAGUGCCUUUAAUACCAAACAGGCUCAGAAUGAUAGUAAUGGGUUUGGAUCCUACUCAGAUUUUUUCACCGAGUUGGGAGAGAAAGCUGGCGAUUCAAGUGCCAAUAUGCUGAACAAUUUUGAUAAUGAGAUAAAGGGUAUAUCUGCCAAUGAAAAACAUGAAUCUGCAUAUUUGGAUAGCUCAAAUUAUGGGGAUUUUCAAGAUAGUUAUAAUUAUGGUAC
rnacentral:lncRNA from 1 species